GAUAAAUAAAAAGUUAUUAUCUGCCUACUACAAGUGUUAAUGUGAAUGUUAUGGCCGGAUUUUUUACAGGCUCAAAAUGUUCGUGUCCAAGUAAAUCUGAUAUCUUGUUUAUCAUUUUGACGUUGAAUGCAGCAGGUAUUCAUGGAGUAUCUCAACUUUCUUACAUGACGUCAUAUGAUAAAUCAUGUGAGCUCCAUACGGAAGAUGUGAAGUGUCAUAUACAUCAAGGACUGUGGUAUUAUUGCGAGACAGCUCUUGGUAACAGCACUACAUCAUGUUCUUACGGUAAGUGAAAACAAAACUUUUUUUCAGCAUAAUGUCAAUUUCAUAAAACCGCAAUGCAAUAAGAAUAUGACAGACAAAACUAAGAUUUAUUGAAACUCUAGAUUACUAUAGUGCUAGAGUAUAAGAGUUCGGUGUUAUUUAAAGCGUCAAUUCCAAGGUGUAUGCAGCAGAAAACAAUCUAUCCUUUUUUAAUGGUGACUUAUUCGCCACGCGCAUUGUUAGAAAAGGAAUGAAAUAGAAUAGCAUUGAUUCGAUCGUUAACCAUGUUUAAAAGCCCAGUAUUUAUGAAAUGACUUAUGCUAUGCAUAAAAUUUUAGAGGCUUGAAAUUCUCUUGGUUCAUUCAAGUGAACCAGCAGCAGAAAAUUAUAAAAUGAAUACAUUAGAACUCAAACAAUUAUUUCACUUUUGAAGUAUUUCAAUUUGGAAAACCAGAAAUAUGCUAAGAUCAAUAAAUGUAUCUUUAAAAAAAUACUAGUUGCUAGCUUUGCGUUCGAUGGCAAAUAGUUCUAUUAUAUUCAUAAUAUUUAUGUAUAUUUAUAUCACUCGUAAUCUCACAUUUGUUUAUCUGUUGAUAUGAAUAUCCUUAUUAAGACCAUUAAUUUUUUUUAGAUCACCUCGAGGACUGGGUUAGAGGUGCUGCAAUUUUAUCAGCGAUUGGCAUGGCAACUCUUGUUUUUGUGUGGAUGAUGGUAGUUGUUACGUCGUGUGGUCUUAUGGGUUUGAAAUUGAAACCUCUAAAAUUUGCUCUCACUGUGGUGUCAGGUAAAGUACAAUUGCCAUAAUUUAUUAAAAUAAAACAAAAUAUAAAAAAAACAAUAAAUAAGCUUAGUACGACAUUUGGUUUUGAUUUUUUAAUGUGUGUUUUGUAAUUGAAGUUAAAAGGGUUGCAGUUGGUCAAAUUAGUUUUCUGGCAUGAUACAUCACAAUCAUAUGCAUUCAAUAUUUUAGUAUAAAUGCAGUAUAAACAUUGAAUGUUCCCUUAUGUUCACCG
rnacentral:lncRNA from 1 species